GCGUUACAGUAUUUUAGCAACUUCAGAAAGAUGCAAACCAUGGAUACAUGGUUUGCAUCUUUCUGAAGUUGCUAAAAUACUGUAACGC